UGUUGCUCGGCUCCAGUCCACGGCCCAAGGCUCAGGGAAACGAAGAGGCUUAAUAAAAAUUUUUAAUAUUAGUUUUUAUAGGUAUUUGCACUUUGGUCAGGAGAGCUGAGUACGGAAGCUCCAUUAAUCAGCCCCCAGCCUCGGGUUUGGAUGCUCAGUUUAU
rfam:Loxodonta africana cont3.15371, whole genome shotgun sequence.